rnacentral:rRNA from 1 species
GACGGAGGAUGCAAGCGUUAUCCGGAAUUAUUGGGCGUAAAGCGUCCGCAGGUGGCUGUUCAAGUCUGCUGUCAAAGCGCAGAGCUUAACUCUGUACAGGCGGUGGAAACUGAAGAGCUAGAGUAUGGUAGGGGUAGAGGGAAUUCCCGGUGUAGCGGUGAAAUUCGUAGAUAUCGGGAGGAACACCGGUGGCGAAGGCGGCGACCUGGGUAGAUACUGACGCUGAGGUGCGAAAGCGUGGGGAGCAAACAGG